rnacentral:rRNA from 1 species
GAUCCUGGCUCAGAGCGAACGUUUGCGGCGGGCUUAACACAUGCAAGUCGAACGAGAAUCCCUUCGGGGAGGAAAGUGGCGCACGGGUGCGUAACACGUGGAUAACCAACCCAUUGGUUUGGGACAACACCGGGAAACUGGUGCUAAUACCAGAUGUGUCGCAGCUGUCUUCAGGCGGUUGCGAGAAAGGCCCGCAAGGGUCGCCAACGGACGGGUCCGCGUCCCAUCAGCUAGUUGGUGAGGUAAUGGCUCACCAAGGCAAAGACGGGUAGCUGGUCUGAGAGGAUGAUCAGCCACACUGGAACUGAGACACGGUCCAGACUCCUACGGGAGGCAGCAGUGGGGAAUAUUGCGCAAUGGGCGAAAGCCUGACGCAGCCACGCCGCGUGAGCGAUGAAGGUCUUCGGAUCGUAAAGCUCUGUGGGGGGAGAAGAAGAAAGCCCGGUGAAGAGCCGGCCCUGACGGUAUCCCCUUAGCAAGCACCGGCUAACUCCGUG